CCUACGGGGGGCAGUGGGGAAUUUUGGACAAUGGGGGCAACCCUGAUCCAGCCAUUCCGCGUGAGUGAAGAAGGCCUUCGGGUUGUAAAGCUCUUUCGGCCGGGAAGAAAUCGCAUCUCCUAAUACGGGGUGUGGAUGACGGUACCGGAAGAAGAAGCACCGGCUAACUACGUGCCAGCAGCCGCGGUAAUACGUAGGGUGCGAGCGUUAAUCGGAAUUACUGGGCGUAGAGCCUGCGCAGGACGGUCACGAAAUCCCCGGGCUUAACCUGGGAACGGCGUUUGUGACUGGUGGGCUUGAGUGCGGCAGAGGGGGGUGGAAUUCCACGUGUAGCAGUGAAAUGCGUAGAGAUGUGGAGGAACACCGAUGGCGAAGGCAGCCCCCUGGGUCGACACUGACGCUCAUGCACGAAAGCGUGGGGAGCAAACAGGAUUAGAUACCCGAGUAGUC
rnacentral:rRNA from 1 species